GAUCUCCGCAACAAUGCUCGAGCAAGACUUAACAGUUGUCUCUGUCCAACGCUGAAAUUCUCCCCAGAUUCCGAAACCUCAGCAUCCAAACCUAAAGAAUUCCUUCGGAUUACAUCCUUCAAGUGUGCUCUCUCCAAAGCCUCCCAAAGAUCAGCAUCAUUGUGUUCAUUGAAAGGAUCAAGAUUAAACCUCACAGUUCCUGAAAAAAGAACUGGCGAUUGUGGUAUAAUUCCAAGUACUUUGCGAAGAUCCAUCAAUCCAAACUUUGCAGUAUCACAACCAUCAAUCAAGAUUCUUCCUCUUUCCAGUUCCACAAUUCGAAAUAAAGCAUUGAGCAUGCUAGAUUUGCCUGCUCCAGU
rnacentral:misc_RNA from 1 species